rnacentral:lncRNA from 1 species
CAAGAGAAUUUAUAUAGGAAGGUAAUUUUACCCUUCCUUGGAUACUUCCUAGCUAAGGAAUUACAUGAGUGGUUGAAUACAAGGAGAAAAUGGAAAUUUAGACACAAAAAUAUCAGAAGAAAAAGAGUCGGCAAAAAUAUCCAAUUUUCGCACGCUGAGUUCCAAUUUCGCACUUUGGUUUGAGGUGUGCGAAAUUUUCGCACAGUGGACUGAGGAUUUCGCACCUUGAUUUCCAUCGUGCGAAAUUUUCGCUCAG